rnacentral:rRNA from 1 species
GACGAACGCUGGCGGCGUGCUUAACACAUGCAAGUCGAACGGAAAGGCCCUGCUUUUGUGGGGUGCUCGAGUGGCGAACGGGUGAGUAACACGUGAGUAACCUGCCCUUGACUUUGGGAUAACUUCAGGAAACUGGGGCUAAUACCGGAUAGGAGCUCCUGCUGCAUGGUGGGGGUUGGAAAGUUUCGGCGGUUGGGGAUGGACUCGCGGCUUAUCAGCUUGUUGGUGGGGUAGUGGCUUACCAAGGCUUUGACGGGUAGCCGGCCUGAGAGGGUGACCGGGGACAUUGGGACUGAGAGACGGACCAGACUCGUACGGGAGGCAGCAGUGGGGAAUAUUGCACAGUGGGCGGAAGCCUGAUGCAGCGACGCCGCGUGCGGGAUGACGGCCUGCGGGGUGUAAACCGCUUUCGCCUGUGACGAAGCGUGAGUGACGGUAAUGGGUAAAGAAGCACCGGCUAACUACGUG